UUCACCUGAGCCUCCCACCUGACGGCCGCGCCUUGAACACCAUUUGCUGAAUUAAAUCCCCACCCUUUUACUACGUCACAGUAGGGAUUAAAUUUCAAUACAUGAAGUUUUGGGAAACAAUCAAACCCAAUCCAAACCACAGUAUGAAUCAAAUAGCAUCUCCCUAAGACACGGAGUUGCUCAGGCUGGGUUUGAACUGACAACCCCCCGCCUCACCCUCCAGGAGCGUGCAGCUGACAGGCGCGCACCCCAUCCCUGGCUUCCCUGUGCUCAUCCUCCAGUGACUGCGGUCCUCUGACACGAAGGUACGACACAGCGACACACGAGGGGUGACGGCCAAGGAAUGAGGAUGAGGAGGUGAAGGGCGUGUCUACCAGCCCAGGAGCCCCGAGGAGCCAGCAGCCAGCGGCUGCAGCUUGGUUCUUGAACGUCCCCUAAGACUCUGGGCUGUGUGACCACUAUAAAAAGAACAGCUGAGAAUAGGA